rnacentral:rRNA from 1 species
CGGCGGACGGGUGAGUAACACGUGGGUAACCUGCCUGNAAGACUGGGAUAACUCCGGGAAACCGGAGCUAAUACCGGAUAGUUCCUUNAACCGCAUGGUUCAAGGAUGAAAGACGGUUUCGGCUGUCACUUACAGAUGGACCCGCGGCGCAUUAGCUAGUUGGUGGGGUAAUGGCUCACCAAGGCGACGAUGCGUAGCCGACCUGAGAGGGUGAUCGGCCACACUGGGACUGAGACACGGCCCAGACUCCUACGGGAGGCAGCAGUAGGGAAUCUUCCGCAAUGGACGAAAGUCUGACGGAGCAACGCCGCGUGAGUGAUGAAGGUUUUCGGAUCGUAAAGCUCUGUUGUUAGGGAAGAACAAGUGCGAGAGUAACUGCUCGCACCUUGACGGUACCUAACCAGAAAGCCACGGCUAACUACGUGCCAGCAGCCGCGGUAAUACGUAGGUGGCAAGCGUUGUCCGGAAUUAUUGGGCGUAAAGGGCUCGCAGGCGGUUUCUUAAGUCUGAUGUGAAAGCCCCCGGCUCAACCGGGGAGGGUCAUUGGAAACUGGGAAACUUGAGUGCAGAAGAGGAGAGUGGAAUUCCACGUGUAGCGGUGAAAUGCGUAGAGAUGUGGAGGAACACCAGUGGCGAAGGCGACUCUCUGGUCUGUAACUGACGCUGAGGAGCGAAAGCGUGGGGAGCGAACAGGAUUAGAUACCCUGGUAGUCCACGCCGUAAACGAUGAGUGCUAAGUGUUAGGGGGUUUCCGCCCCUUAGUGCUGCAGCUAACGCAUUAAGCACUCCGCCUGGGGAGUACGGUCGCAAGACUGAAACUCAAAGGAAUUGACGGGGGCCCGCACAAGCGGUGGAGCAUGUGGUUUAAUUCGAAGCAACGCGAAGAACCUUACCAGGUCUUGACAUCCUCUGACAACCCUAGAGAUAGGGCUUUCCCUUCGGGGACAGAGUGACAGGUGGUGCAUGGUUGUCGUCAGCUCGUGUCGUGAGAUGUUGGGUUAAGUCCCGCAACGAGCGCAACCCUUGAUCUUAGUUGCCAGCAUUUAGUUGGGCACUCUAAGGUGACUGCCGGUGACAAACCGGAGGAAGGUGGGGAUGACGUCAAAUCAUCAUGCCCCUUAUGACCUGGGCUACACACGUGCUACAAUGGACAGAACAAAGGGNUGNNNGACCGCAAGGUUUAGCCAAUCCCAUAAAUCUGUUCUCAGUUCGGAUCGCAGUCU